UAGAUAGUCAAGUUCUGAUCCAG
rnacentral:piRNA from 2 species